rfam:Felis catus isolate Cinnamon breed Abyssinian chromosome D2, whole genome shotgun sequence.
GCCUGGGUGGCUCAGUUGGUUAAGCAUCUGACUUCGGCUCAGGUCAUGAUCUCACAGUUUGUGGGUUCAGGCCCCGUGUCAGGCU